GGGAGCUACUUAAUCAGGACUUUUUAAAAAGAGGGAGCAAGAGGCAGAGCCAACGAGACACAACCAGCUCAGGGUUUUCAAAGAAUUCCCUAGCAAAGGUAAGAAGGAAGGCCUGGAAUAGAAAGAAACAGAAGGUGAGAGACCAAGCAGGAGAUGAGAUUUCUAAUCCAGGCUUAUCUAAUAGCCCAAAGUGAAGAAAGAACUGACUAUGAAAAUGGGACGAAUAUGAGAGUGCUGUGAAAAUUCAGCAGUGACUAAAACAGAAGAAUCAAACAUGACUCCAAAGUCUGAAGAGAAGGCGACUGGGACAAGAGUCAUACUAAGAAAGAAUUAAGGAUGCCAAGUGGAGCAAGUCUGGCAAAGGAAAGUGCUGAGUUGCCUACAGGAUAUCCGGGUGAAAACAUCCAGCAGUUAUUUAUCCGCCUGGGACAGUACUGACCUUUAAGACUUACUGUAUCUCCUGAAUAGCCUAUUUGGACUUCAUCAAGAGCUUUUCCCAAACAGGGAUUUUUAUCUUGCGGGCCCAUGGACUCAUGGGGAGUCCCAUGAACCUCCCAAAUUAUUAAAGAAAAUUUUAUUUGUGUUCAUGGACAUUUGGGGAGAGGUAUGUACUUUCAUUACAAACUCAAGGAGCACGAAACUCCCUUUUCCCUCACAAAAAUGUUAAUACUCUCCAUUCAUCCUUCUAAACACUCCAAGCAAGAUGCUGUUUCCCAAAACUGGGUCAGAGACUACUGGUGUAUGUCCUGGAUCUCAGAGGCAUGGGAAGAAAGGUGGCUAAAGCAGAAGCUAUGAGAAAGAAAUCAGAAACUAAGGUAAGAGAGGAUGGGGCUGGGCACAGUGGCUCACGUCUGUAAUCCCAGCACUUGGGAGGCCUAGGUGGGCAGAUCACCUGAGGUCAGGAGUUUGAGACCAGCCUGGCCAACAUGGUGAAACCCCGUCUCCACUAAACAUACAAAAAUUAGCCGGGCAUGGUGGCGCAUGCCUGUAAUCCCAGCUACUCAUGAGGCUGAGGCACGAGAAUUGCUUGAACCAGGAGGCAGAGGUUGCAGUGAGCAGAGAUUGUGCCGCUGCACUCCAGCCUGGGUGACAGAGAAGAAAAAGGUAAGAGGAUGGGAGGGAGAGAAGGAAGGAAAAGAGAGAGGAAAAGAAGGAAAGAGGGAGGAAGAGAGAUAGAGGGAGAGGGAGAGGGAGAGGAAAAAAUGUGGAGGAAAAUAAAUAAUCAACAGUAAUUAAGAGAGAAAAUUAACCAUGAGGAAGGAAUAAAGGAAAGUCAUAAUAUUUACCAAAAAAAAUCUUGUGGUCAGGGAGAAAACGGCUGCUUUAUUUCAAAUUCAGGGUUAAACCUAAGAGUCAGAAAUCCUUAUAAAUUCAUAUACAUUUCUUUUAAAACUCCCCAUUGUCUGGAAGAUGCUAAGGAACUAAAUAUGUUAAGAACUAGUAAAAAUAAAUAAAUAAAGGCCAGGCACGGUGACUCAUGCCUGUAAUCCCAGCACUUUGGGAGGCUGAGGCAAGCAGAUCAUGAGGUCAAGAGAUGGAGACCAUCCUGGCCAACAUAGUGAAACCCCAACUCUACUAAAAAUACAAAAAUUAGCUGGGCAUGGUGGCACGUGCCUGUAGUCCCAGCUACUCAGGAGGCUGAGGCAGGAGAAUCACUUGAACCCUGGAGGCGGAGGUUGUGGUGAGCCGAGAUCGUGCCAUUGCACUCCAGCCUGGGCAACAAGAGCGAGCAAAACUCCAUCCCAAAAAAUAAAUAAAUAAAUAAAAUAAAGAAAAGCAAAAGAAUCAAGGAUUUAUCCAUCCAUUCCAUAUGAACUGUACUUCAAGGUACUAAAUAGUUGGAGGUGAAUUUCUCUUUGUAGAUGUAUUCUGGCUAAUAAUGAGAAAAGGAAUAACAAUUAGAAUAUUACCAUUUUGUAACCUCUAAUGAUAUAAUCUAUCUAGGCAAUGCCAGUUGUUAGCUGCUUCCUAAUAAAAUAUACAACACCACUACACAAAGAAAAGCUGAAUCUGAUUAAACAUCUUGCUCUAACUUCCAAUAUAAAGGGGGAAAAAAGGAUGAAAAACAAGUGAUAGUUCAAGGAUACUGUCAUCAAAAUCCUGACUGUAAAAACCUUACACGAGAAGUAAACUAAACAUUCCCAUCAAAAGGCAGAGAUUGUUGUUCUUUUUAAUCUGUCUUAUCUCCUUAGUUCUGUCUAUAGACACUUCAAAUACAAAGAUAUAAAUAAGUAAGUUAAAAAUGAGAACAUGGAAAACACACACACACACACACCACAGACAGUAAGCAUAAGAAAGCUGGAAGGGCCAUAAAAACACUGGGCAAAAUGGACUUUGGAGUAAGCAGUAGCAGUGGAGAUAAAGCAGGAAACUUCAUAAUGAUAAAAUGGUGAAUACAAGAGAAAUAAAAACUAUAAAUGUAUAUGGGCCUAAUGACAGGGCUCCAAAAUACAGGAUGGAAAAACUGACAGAAAUAAAGGAAGAAAAUCACAAAUCCACAAGCAGUGCUGGAGAUUUUAAAAUACCUCGCUCAGUAAUUGAUAGAGUAACCAAAGGAAAAAAAAAGAAAUCAUAAUAUAGGAGAACUAAAAUGAUGCUAUCAACCAACCAUAAAAAUUUGGGAACAAAAAACCACAAAGAUUCUAAAAUAGGAAGAGUGGGUAGGUUGGUUAGGCAUUUAUCUGCCUCCUCUUCUAAACCAGUUCUCUUUCAAACAUAAUAACUAGGUACAGGUUUGCCACAGAAUUGAAGAGAAAGAAAAGAACAGGAAAGGUGCCAAAUUUAAGGAAAGAGUGGUCCAUCUUUUAUUUAUAUAGCCUUCAAAUUCCAGAAAGUUUCCAAAGCCUUUGUUACACACAUGAUCUCAUUCCAUCCUAACAGUAACCUUUGAAAAAGCAACCCACAUUUCCUUAGCCCCAUUUUACAGACAAGGAAGUUGAGCUCAGAGGCUGAUUUGCCAAACAAACAAAAUUGUGAGUCUGCUUCUAGAUCAAAAGGGUGGACAUUCACCUGAAGGAAUUCCCUGGGAAAGUAGUGAAGUACCAAUUAUUUUCUUUCUAGAAAGUACAUUUUCUGCUGGACACAGUGGCUCACACCUGUAUUCCCACUUGGGAAGCUAAAGAGGGAGGAUCACUUGAGCCCAGGAUUUCGAGACCAGCCUGAGCAACAUAGUGCGACCCUAUCUCUAAAAUAUUUUUUUAAAAUUAGCCAGGCAUGGUCCUAGCUACUCGGGAGGCUGAGGCAAGAGGACUGUUGAGCCUAGGAGUUCAAAGCUGCAGAGAGCUAUGAUCAUGCCACUGUACUCCAGCCUGGGCGACAGACCUUGCCUUUUCAAAAAAAAAAAGAAAGAAAGAAAGAAAAGAAAAGUAUUUGGACACAUUUCUCCCAAUAUGUCCAAAUAUCCAAAGCAAUUAUAUCAAGGGUAUUGGCUCCUUGGUUAAGAACUGGGCUUUAUUUUCACACACUCCCUGAAAUGACACAGCCAGAGAUCAGGUAGGACCCAGAGAGAACAAAGUUACAAACCCUGUGUCCAAACAGCAUCCUAAAAUGAAAUACUCCUGGAUGGAACCCUUGGAAAACUCAGUGUUGACCAUAUUCCCAGUUACCCAUAAAAACUUAUCAAGUUGUGGUUUAGAAACAGAUUCAAAGAAAGCAGUCUGCAGAAAAUACGCAGAUUUACUCUUUUAAUUAGCAAAACACAGACUUUACAGAUCUCAUUACUAUAUUUAGAGAAUAAAUCUUAGAGUAAAAUGACUUUGUUUCUUGGCUUGAACCAAAUUAUGUGGAGUUUUUAUAAUUAGAAAACUUUAUUGAAGAGCUUCAGAAAUAAUUUAAGUAUCAAUAUUCAAUCUUCAAAAACUCUUCCAGUACAGUCUAUGACAGCUGCACAGUAAUACAUAUUGUCUUAGAUUUUCUUAAUAUUCACAUCUGCCUUCUGUUCUUUGAAAUUCUUUUUGUGUUUAUGUUUAAAAAUAGAUAUACAAUUCAAAUAUGUUCUAGGUGAGGACUGGUUAUUUAAAUAACAUAUAUAUGCUUUACUUACACCUCUCUCGGGGUUCCACUGAAGUAUAUAUUCUUCUAGGUAUUUGGGGGACUGUGUCAUUAAGGCUAAUGGUGGUUUAAUCUAAGAGGAAAAAAAUACAUGCAUACCAAGGAAUAUUUUUCAGUUUCUUGGCAGAACACAAUAGAGAGGAAAAGUGAUUUGACUUUUUAGCUCCAAUUGCUUUCAAUUUCUUAGGUAAGGUCAAUGUUGUAAAAUCUGCUGAGACUUUUUUUAUAGAACCUGAGUGAAUAAAAUGCAGAGGUAAAUCACUACUUUCUAUUUAAAGCAAACUAGCUUUUUACAAAGCUUAUGACCAUUUUUAAAGAAAAAGAAAGGAGGCCAGGUGCAGUGGCACAUGCUUAUAAACCCAGUGCUUUGGGAGGCCGAGGCGGGAGGCUCAUGUGAGUCCAGGAGUUUGAGUCCAGCCCGAGCAACAUAGUGAGACCCAGGUGUGAUGGCUCAUGCCUGUAAUCCCACCUACUCGGGAUGCUGAUGUGGGAGGAUCACUUGAGCCCAGGAGGUUGAGGCUGCAGUGAGUUGUGAUUGUGCCACUGUACUCCAGCCUGGAAAACAGACAAGACCCUGUCUCAAAAAAAAAAAAAAAAAAAAAGGAAAAACACAUGUUCUUCCCAGAAAAUAAAAAAUAGGCCAGUAGAUUCUUGGUUCUUCUUCUUCUUUUUUUUUUUUUGAGACAGGUCUCGCUCUUUCACCCAGGCUGGAGUGCAGCUGCACAGUCUCAGCUCACUGCAUCCUCCACCUCCCAGGUUCAAGCAAUUCUCCUGCCUCAGCCUCCAGAGUAACUGGGAUUACAGUCACCCGUCACUACAACCGGCCAACUUUUGUAUUUUUAGUAGAGAUGGGGUUUCACCAUGUUGGCCACGCUGAUCUCGAACUCCUGACCUCAAGUGAUCCACGCGUCUCAGCCUCCCAAAGUACUGGGAUUACAGGCGUGUGCCACCGUGCCUGGCCGGUUCUUCUUUCUUCUGCCAGGCAGUCCACCCUAGGUGGGCAGGCUUCCUACAUGGACUCUGAGGGGCUCUCUGGUCUCUGCUGAUGUUGCUGGCAUACCUGCUGUGGACACCCAGUAAAACAGUGGCUCCACACAAUCAUGGGAAAAAAGACGAAUAUGACCAUUACAUUUCACACAAGCUUCAAAGGAACCAUCAAACCAGUAACAACUCAAUUACUCUUUGUGGCUUCUUUUUAUUUUGAAUCAAUAAUCUAGAAGUGAAGGUCU
rnacentral:lncRNA from 10 species